rnacentral:rRNA from 1 species
UUCGCCCUUUUCCGGUUGAUCCUGCCGGACCUGACUGCUAUCGGAUUGAUACUAAGCCAUGCGAGUCAUUGUAGCAAUACAAGGCAGACGGCUCAGUAACGCGUAGUCAACCUAACCUAUGGACGGGAAUAACCUCGGGAAACUGAGAAUAAUGCCCGAUAGAACACUAUACCUGGAAUGGUUUGUGUUCCAAAUGAUUUAUCGCCGUAGGAUGGGACUGCGGCCUAUCAGUUUGUUGGUGAGGUAAUGGCCCACCAAGACUAUUACAGGUACGGGCUCUGAGAGGAGUAGCCCGGAGAUGGGUACUGAGACACGGACCCAGGCCCUAUGGGGCGCAGCAGGCGAGAAAACUUUGCAAUGUGCGAAAGCACGACAAGGUUAAUCCGAGUGAUUUGUGCUAAACGAAUCUUUUGUUAGUCCUAGAACCACUAACGAAUAAGGGGUGGGCAAGUUCUGGUGUCAGCCGCCGCGGUAAAACCAGCACCUCAAGUGGUCAGGAUGAUUAUUGGGCCUAAAGCAUCCGUAGCCGGCUCUGUAAGUUUUCGGUUAAAUCUGUACGCUUAACGUACAGGCUGCCGGGAAUACUGCAGAGCUAGGGAGUGGGAGAGGUAGACGGUACUCGGUAGGAAGGGGUAAAAUCCUUUGAUCUAUUGAUGACCACCUGUGGCGAAAGCGGUCUACCAGAACACGUCCG